GAUGAACGCUGGCGGCGUGCCUAAUACAUGCAAGUCGAGCGAACGGACGAGAAGCUUGCUUUUCUGAUGUUAGCGGCGGACGGGUGAGUAACACGUGGAUAACCUACCUAUAAGACUGGGAUAACUUCGGGAAACCGGAGCUAAUACCGGAUAAUAUUUUGAACCGCAUGGUUCAAAAGUGAAAGACGGUCUUGCUGUCACUUAUAGAUGGAUCCGCGCUGCAUUAGCUAGUUGGUAAGGUAACGGCUUACCAAGGCAACGAUGCAUAGCCGACCUGAGAGGGUGAUCGGCCACACUGGAACUGAGACACGGUCCAGACUCCUACGGGAGGCAGCAGAAGGGUAUCGUCCGCAAUGGGCGAAAGCCUGACGGAGCAACGCCGCGUGAGUGAUGAAGGUCUUCGGAUCGUAAAACUCUGUUAUUAGGGAAGAACAUAUGUGUAAGUAACUGUGCACAUCUUGACGGUACCUAAUCAGAAAGCCCCGGCUAACUACGUG
rnacentral:rRNA from 1 species